AGGAAAACAAGCUAAGGAUUCCACUGAUUCUACAUUACGGUUCUUUCCAUGUCUGACACCCAUGGCUCCACCUGGACAUGCCAACUUUGCUCCUGCGGCCCCACCCGGAAGCAACUCAGCUCAAGAAGAUAACUUCAACCCCCUAUAUUUCAUCUCCUCCCCAACCAAUUAGCAGCAAACACCCAUUGCAUGGCCACCCCAAUCCCUUCUUCCAAACUGCCUUUGAAAAACCCCUAACCUAUGAGCCUGAGAUGAGAUUGAUUUGAGUAAUAACUCUAUCCCUAUCUGCAGUGUAGCAUGGCCAA
rnacentral:lncRNA from 10 species